GCCUUCGUGGUGUAACGGUAGCACACUCGGCUCAUAUUCGAAAGUCCCAGGUUCGGCCCAGGCGAGGGCA
rnacentral:tRNA from 1 species